UUUGUAGAUGGGAAUUGGUGGUGGAAGCACUUUUGGGAUUGGGGGUUUUGGUUUGUAGAUGGGAAUUGGUGGAAGCACCUUCGGGAUUGGGGGUUUUGGUUUGUAGAUGGGAAUUGGUGGUGGAAGCACUUUUGGGAUUGGGGGUUUUGGUUUGUAGAUGGGAAUCGGUGGUGGAAGAACCUUCGGGAUUGGUGGUUUUGGUUUGUAGAUGGGAAUUGGUGGAAGCAAUUUCGGGAUUGGGGGUUUUGGUUUGUAGAUGGGAACUGGUGGUGGAAGCACCUUUGGGAUUGGGGGUUUGGGUUUGUAGAUGGGAAUUGGUGGAAGCACCUUCGGGAUUGGAGGUUUUGGUUUGUAGAUGGGAAUUGGUGGAAGCACCUUCGGGAUUGGGGGUUUUGGUUUGUAGAUGGGAAUUGGUGGAAGCACCUUCGGGAUUGGGGGUUUUGGUUUGUAGAUGGGAAUUGAUGGUGGAAGCACUUUCGGGAUUGGGGGUUUUGGUUUGUAGAUGGGAAUUGGUGGAAGCAACUUCGGGAUUGGGGGUUUUAGUUUGUAGAUGGGAAUUGGUGGUGGAAGCACUUUCGGGAUUGGAGGUUUUGGUUUGUAAAUAGGGAUUGGUGGUGGAAUCACCUUUGGAAUUGGUGGUUUUGGUUUAUAAAAGGGAACUGGUGGUAUUUUUGGAAUGGGAGGAAGUGGCUUUUUGAACUUUGGAAUUGGAGGCAGUGGCUUCUUGAAUUUAGG
rnacentral:lncRNA from 1 species